rnacentral:tRNA from 1 species
GCCUCCAUAGCUCAGUGGCUAGAGCACUGGUCUUGUAAACCAGGGGUCGGGAGUUCAAUUCUCCCUGGAGGCA